rnacentral:lncRNA from 1 species
GUGGAUAUUAAUAAGUAUGAUGAAACAUAUGGAACAGUCUGACUUUUUCAACAUCCCUUCACUAUGUAUAUAUCCUUUGCGUGUGGGUUCAUACACCCAUCUAUAUAUAUUACCCCUAUAUAUGUGUGUGUAUAUAUAUAUAUAUAUAACGAGGUAUUAAUUAUACCGUACAAAUUAACAGAGUAAUUAAUUAAAAUAUAAAAGAAAUGAUGACGAAAUGCUUUUGUAGUGUAUGAGGUGGGAGAUAUGCAUGGAGAAAAUGUGCA